ensembl:lncRNA
CUAGACACAUUUCACCUUUCCACACCAUGAUGUACUCCAGCAACAUCUCUGCUCAAGAUCACGCAACUCACUUUUCCAUAAGGACCAGGAAAGAGAAGGAGACGAUUUGCUGCCUGUUUUCUCCUUGGUGAAAGGCUUCAAUUGCUGUGAUCCUAAGCCUAAAAGAAGCUACCGGAAUAACAAAAGAGUGAGAGAUUUCCUGUCAUUGCUCACAGCCUCUGCACCUUGAUGGCAUCUCCUGAGUACCAGCAGUGACUCCACAUAUCCAGCCUUAUGAUGAGUGCUCUGCAGAGUGUGCUUGAUGCAGCUUCUAAACACAGGCAGAGACUGAACCCAUAGAAAAACAUCACGCAGGGAACACAGUUGUCCCAUUAAUUCAAUCAGUGUAGUAAGGACGUGUUUUGGAAAUUUAAAAUCCCAUGUUCAUAUUUCUCUGCUCUAGAAAAGAAUCUCCAAAGAUUGCACCCAAAUCACUGGCAUCAUUACUUUCAAUUCAUCACUGAAAUCCAGACAAGUUGUUUGUAUCUGCAUUAAUGUCACCAAACAGUAAAGUUAAAUGAAUACUUCAAUUCUGUAUCUGCUCCAGUCUGUGGUUCACUGAUGAGAAGUGUACAGUCUCAAACUGUACCUGUCUUCUGGAGCAUUAUAUUCUUUUUCCAACUGUGCUAACUUGUUUAAGUCUAACUUGUUUAAACCUGCUGUGUUGACCAGGAGAAACCAUAGCUUGGGGUUCAGGUGGGGAUGAUGAC